GGUACAUCUCGCCGUCGGCCACCGAGUGCCUGUCGUCUGUGCCUUCACCCUCCUCCCUGAGGCUGCAGGUGUUGACGAUGACAGGCAUGUUGGGGUCCAGGCUCCGGGGGACGUAGUGCUCCGCCAGCGGCUGUGCCAGGGGCAUGCCUGCCGCCCGCGGGUACAGGACGUCUGUGGGGCUCAUCUGCACCUGGCCGGCCUGCGGGCUGGGGGUGGGAAGAGGCACGGUUACGCGUGCACCCCCACUGCAACCCCAAGCCCAGCUGCCCCCAGGCCUCCUGAGAGCGUGCAGCCCCACCCCACAGCUUCUUGGCUCUGUGACCCAUACAGUUGUCCCCAAAUUCACUGUCACCUACAGCCCUGCAGAUGGCCCUGCAGCCCCAGGGCCACAGUGUGCUCAACAGAUAAUAUUCUUGGAGGAUGGAGUAUGAAUCCAAUUUUUUGCAACUGCAUAUUGGUAAUGCGCUGGGGGGUUCCUGUUUAAAGGAAUCCAGCGGUGUGCCAGCUCUGGUCAAGUCGGGAAUCUGUGUGAUGAGCACUUUGAUUUUUAGUCCCUCUGACUCUACAGAGCUCGUCAGAAAUGGGAGCCGCAGGCUCAUUUUCCCGGGUGCGCGUGGCAGGUCCUCCACGGUUAGUCACGUGCCUAUAACUUCAGCCACCAAGUGCUCAGCAGUCACACACGCAGCCAUACACGGUGGCCCCCGGAGCCACACACUCAGGCCCAGCCACCCACAGCACCCUGGGGUCACAUCCAAAGGUCAGCCACACACUGCCACCCGCCGCUCACAAGAGUUCUACUUGAGGGGGGGCUGCUCACGGGAUGGCGUAGCUCUGGCGGGCGUCCUGGCGCCGGGUCCUCAUCAGGGCCUUGUACUCGCCCACGCGCAGCCGCUUGCCCUCCACGAUGCAGGUGCGCUUGGGCCGCGGCUUGUACUUGUAGUCGGGGUACUUCUCCAGGUGCUGCCGGCUCAGCCGCGCCUGCUCCUCGUAGUAGGGCUGCUUCUCCUGGUUGCUCAUGGACUUCCAGCGCGAGCCUGCACAGCCCCCGGGGACAGGCGGUCGGUGCUGGGCUCUGCUCCCUGCCCGGCCCCCAGGACAGUGUGGUCCCCGCGUGGCCCCACAAGGUAAUAUGGGCAAGCACUUAGUGAGGGCCUGGCCCGAUGUGGGUGCUCCUUGGAUGCUGAGCAAAGGCAUGAACGAAGUUGGCACGUAGAAAGUGUAUCCGAUGCUCAGCUUAAGGCUCAGCAUCCACCCACAUCCCAGACGACCUGGCAACUUCUGGGAGGCCUCUGGUCUGCUGAGUUGCAUAAACAAGAGAACAGCCACCCAGGCCCUCAGCAGCCCGGGUAGGCUCCCUGCUCAGGACAAAAUCCCUGGUGUCUCGGUUGACAAGAGACCUGCAUUGACGCGAGAGGUGCCUCAGUCUUGAAACCAACUGUCCCCUUUUAGCACAUCUGCCCUGCCCCAUAUCCUUUCCCUGGCCUCCGAUCAGGCCAUAUAAUUCUAAAAACCUUCCUACUGCCAACCCAAGAACACCAGUCUCUCCUACGGUCUGCCAGAGCCAGCUCCCAGGUCUGGGCUAACAGUGGAACAGGUUAGGUUUAGAGCAGGAGGGCUGAGGAAUGUUCUCUCUCUCCUGGACUUCUUGAGGGCAGGCGCUACCGGACGAGCCCUGCGACGGUACGAGACCCUCGGACCCAGCUGCCUCCACAUCCCCCGACUCCUGCACCCCCUCAGAGUCCACUGGGGUCCAGCAUGGUGUGGAAUAUCACCAAGCAAGCCCCGGGUAGACCCGGAUGGCUCUCGCCACCAGGUCCCACUGGACCGCGGCCCUUACCGAGGAUCUUGCUGAUGCUGGAGUUGUGCAUGUCCGGGAAGGCUUGGAGGAUCUUCCUCCGCUCGUCCUUGGCCCACACCAUGAAGGCGUUCAUGGGCCUCUUGAUGUGGCUGCUGUUCCGGGACUCCGGGAAGUGGCGGGAGCCUGAGGGGCAGGGGUGGCAUCAGCCAGGCAGCCUGUCGGGGGUGGGGAGAGUCCUCCAGGGCCAGCAGAGAGCCGUCCCCUACGCGCCCACUAGGGGGCACUGACGGGGCUCCCAGAGCAAGUUAGCAGAGGCCCAGCCAGGGACCCAGAGACAGACGGGACAGACACACAGGAAACCGGGGGCCCCAGAGAGUGGGGACCCAGCCGUCAGAGACACAGGGAGACAGACCCACCAGAGCCGUGGGACCAUGGAGCCACGCACACCCGGAGGGACCCGACCGACAGACCAGUGGAGAGACGGGUCAGAGACAGACCCAGCCUGAGCCUCCCCGGGACACAGGGCCUAAGGCCACUCGGGCUGCUGUAACGAAGACCCAUAAACUAGGCAGCUUAUGAACAACAAAUCUCCUCUCCGCUCUGCAGGGGAGUCACCUCCGGGUAAGUCACACCUUGGGUCCUGCCCAUGUCUGAGACUCCGGACUUUAAACUUUUGAGGUGAUGCUGGAACGCAGAGGCUGUUGGGACAGAAUCAAUGUAUUUUGCAUGUGAGAACAUGAUUUUGGAGGCCGGGGCCUGAGCAGAAUGCUAGGGCCUGAAUGCUCGUGCCCCCCAAAAUUCAUAUGUCAAAACCCUAAUCCCCGGUGUGACGGCAGUAGCAGGGGAAACCUUUGGGAAGUGAUUAGGUCAGGGAGGGCGAAGCUCUCAGGAAGGGGACUAGAGGCCUGAGGGGGCUUGUCUGCCCUUCCCACCACGUGAGGACACAGCCAGAGGUGCCACCUGGGAACCAGAGCAGGCCCUCGCCAGACACCGAAUCUGCUGGUGCCCUGAACUUGGACUUCCAGCCUCCACGACCGUCAGAAAUAAAUGUCUGCUGCUUACAAGCCGCCCAGUUUACGGGACUUUGUUGUAGCAGCCUGAACUGCUGUGUUUCCGCUGUGCCCGACCUUGCAGAGAGUUCCUUCCCAGAAACCUCUCUUUCCAGUCACUGGACAGCAGCUUCUCGAUGGCCGGCACCACUGGAAGACAGCGGCAGGGUGAGGAGCAGCCGUCCCAGCAGCCCGCCCAGGCCCUGCCUCCAACGAGGGCAGACUUCUGACCUUCUUUUAAGUUCCGGUUGAAGUCCAGCUUCUCCUGGCUUCCAGAAGCAGCCUCUAGGGCUCCCGGUCUCUUGGGUUCUGGGGACCCAUUGCUCUCUGGAGAGCUACAGUCCUGCAAGACACACUGAAUUUGUCACUGUCACCCCCAGGAGAAGUGGGGGCAGAUUGUAGGGAGGGCUGAGCACCCCAGGGAUGUCACCCUGAAGGAACCCCGCACUCGUGCCAAGCCCCACUGCCCCACCCAGGAGGCCCCCAGUCCCCUAGCUUCCCAACCUUUGCUCACACUGCCUCGUACAGUGAAAGGAACAAAAGAUCUGAAGAUAAAAGACCGGGGUUUCAGUCCAGGCUCAGUGACUCACAAGGAGCUGGAUCCCACACAAGUCCCUGAACUUCUCUGAACCUCACUUCCCUCUUCUGAAAAUGGAAAUACUAAUACCUCCCCUGUAGCAGGAUUGUUUCUGGGAUCAAGGGAGUUAUACAUGUGAAUGAGGUUUGCCUCGGUGGAUUCAGGGGCCAAAGCUAUUAAUUAGCACUGCCUGCAUCCACCUGCUGCUCCAGCAGGGCUGGUUAUUACAGGGCCCCACCUCGGCCCUCCUUAAGAAAUUCCCCCCUCGCUCCUUUUCUCAUCUAAGGCGUCCUCAUCCUUUCAGGCCUAGCUUGAGGCCCUACUCCUCCAGGAAGUCUUCCUUGAUCACCACUGACAUGCACAAACACACUCCUCCAGGCUGGAUUCGUCCUUAGAACCCAGAAACUCUCCUAAUUUUCACUCAUUUGGCUUUUUUGGUUUUUUUUUUCUUUUUUUGUGGCGGGGGCGG